CUGAGAUUUGGGGGGGUCUGGACCACCCCCUGCGUCCGCCCCAGUCUGGCAAGGCCGAAUGGCUAAAUGCCUGAACGGCCGAAUGGCCGAAGUGGUUGCCAGACGUCGCAAGGCUGUUUGUUGCCAACACUGCCAGUGCAAAUGGCGCCUUGCAUGCCAAGCAAUCAGGGAAUUUUCACACAUCAAAAAUGUAUUGGCGACCGAUAUCGAUAAACGAGGGGCCAAGUUCGUUUAUUUGGUAUUUAGUAUGCAUUAAGCGUUACGACUGUCGGCGAAAUUUUAACUCGCAGCCUGACCUCAAAUAUUGAAUUAUCAAUAACAAAUUAAAUACAUUUUUAAUGCAAAUGCAAUGCAAAUAAAGAAUUAAAGACAGCUGUAUUGUUCGGAGUGCUCCUCAUUACCACUCGGCUUGUGGCACGUUCCCAGGUUUCGUUAACCCCCGAAAGCCAGCGAACAAUUACGCAUUCGCGCAAUUUCCUCAAGAACUCGGCGUACUUUAGAAUACCGAAGUUGCGGCGAUCCAUCAUCGGGCUGACAACAAUCAAAGCCAGAGGAACGAGAACGUGAAGGGGCGAGAGCCGAAUGAAAUGCCGGACAAUUACGUGAGCUACACGCUCCAAAAUCCUCCCGAAUUGCAAAGAACUUCUGCCAGAAUUACCGAGCCAUUGGACUGGUUUUCAACGACUCACGUGCAGUCCAUGAGGAAGCCAGAGGAAUUACCUGGUACCAGGCCAGCCCCUCCCCAUUGGGGCCAUAAAUUACUGGACUUAAUGUUGGCAAGCGACUGUCCAAUGUAAUGACUCUGCGUUCUGCUCAAGAAAAGCAGUUGCGGAAGGGAUCAGGAUGAGUUGAUUACCAGAACGUGCUACAAUGCGCUUUUGAAAGGGUUCAAAUCAGGAAGCAAGUAUUGAAGGAACACUUGUCAUCGGAUUAUAAUGAACGAUUUUGGAUCACAUCUCAAGGCGAAGAGAAUGACAGCAUGCACUUUCUCCUAAGAAGAUAUCAAAUAAAUAAGCUUCUUCCAGACUCAAAAAUUAGAAUAAGCCCGCGAGAUCGAUCCCGCUUUCUCUGACAGAAAACGAACCAAAAUCGAGGAGAAAGUGGCUACCAAUCGUGCUCAGAAUCCACUAAAAGCGCACAAGGCCCAAAACCGAUGAUCUUGCUUCGAAAAUAAAUAGCUGAUGUACUCGCUUUAUGCAGCCUA